CACGACAUCGUGGAAAUAUCAAAUCUUCGGAGCCUUGGGAUGAGCCUGCGUCUGAUUAGGUAGUUGGCGGAGUAAUAGCCACAAGCUACGAUCAGUAGCUGGGUCUGAGAGGAUGAUCAGCCACACUGGAACUGAGACACGGUCCAGACUCCUACGGGAGGCAGCAGUAAGGAAUAUUGCUCAAUGGGGGAAACCCUGAAGCAGCAACGCCGCGUGAAGGAUGAAAUACUUUUGUAUGUAAACUUCUGUAAGAUGGGAAAAAUAUUCUCCUCGGGAGAAUUGAUUGUACCAUCAGAGUAAGCCCCGGCUAACUACGUG
rnacentral:rRNA from 1 species